rnacentral:tRNA from 1 species
GCACGAAUGUUUAAAUUCUGUUAAAUUGUCAGUAUUUUCGGUGAUGGGAUUGAAAAUCCCCGUGUCGGCAGUUCGAUUCUGUCUCCGGGCACCA